rnacentral:rRNA from 1 species
UACAGAGGUCUCAACCGUUGUUCGGAUUCAUUGGGCGUAAAGGGCGCGUAGGCGGGUUUGCAAGUCCGGGGUGAAAUCCCACAGCUCAACUGUGGAACUGCCUCGGAUACUGUGAGUCUCGAGGGUGGCAGGGGUAUGCGGAACUAUCGGUGGAGCGGUGAAAUGCGUUGAUAUCGAUAGGAACUCCGGUGGCGAAGGCGGCAUACUGGUCCACUUCUGACGCUGAGGCGCGAAAGCCAGGGGAGCAAACGGG